CAUAGCGUAGCUUAAUGCCUCAAAGCAUCUGGCCUACACCCAGAAGACUCCACACCAAUGGACACUAUGA
rnacentral:tRNA from 1 species